CAGGCGGUGGUAAAUCAGGAUAAUAUGUUCUUUUCUUCAUAUAGUAAACUUAAGAAAUACACAAUUUGUUGCAAGUACUGUGUUAUCCUAACUCCAGAAAUAUCUGCAGCCAUCAUUUCUUGCUGAACAUUCACCAUAAAUUUUCCUUUGAAUUAGUUGGGUUGGCAAUAAGUAGGUCCAUGAAUUUUGUCCUUUUCUUGGUGCCGCUCUGGAAAAGUUGUCUAUUCUGGUACCACGAGAGAUGCUUAUAUUGUCAUUUGUGUUACUCCAUGUGAAGAUAUAUGUACAGUCUGUUCUCAUCUUGCAAGAGAAGAAAGGAAAAGCGAAAGAUGAGUUACAUUGCAGAUAGAAAGCCUCACGCUGUGGUGACUCCAUAUCCAGCACAAGGACAUGUGACCCCUUUGCUCAAACUAGCGAAGCUGCUUCACCUCAGAGGUUUUCACAUAACCUUUGUGCACACUGAGUACAACUACAAACGCAUGCUCAGAUCAAGAGGUGCCAAUGCUCUCGAUGGCCUACCAGAUUUUCGCUUUGAGACCAUCCCAGAUGGCCUUCCUCCAUUGGAGAACGAUGAUGUUACUCAACCCGUACCCGCAACUUUUGACUCUAUCCGAAAGAACUUCCUUCAACCCUUUUGUGACCUUCUUCAUAAACUUAACCAUUCUGCCUCUCAGGGUCUCAUUCCCCCACUUACUUGCUUAGUUUCUGACGGUUGCAUGUCCUUUGCUGCACAAGCUGCUCAACGAUUUGCACUUCCUAACGUUAUCUGUUGGCCUGCUAGUGCCUGUUCGUUAUUGUCUGUUAUGAACUUUCCCACCGCGGUCGAGAAAGGUCUCUCACCACUCAAAGACGAGAGUUAUCGGACAAACGGGUUUUUGGACUCCAAAGUUGACUGGAUUCCUGGCAUGGAGAAUUUUCUGCUGAAGGACAUGAUUGACUUCUUAUGGACAACGGAUCCAAAUGAUGUACUUUUGCAGUUUUUCGUUGAAUUUGCAAAUACAGUUGAAAAAAACUCAAUAAUUCUUCUUAACACUUUUGACGAACUUGAGGACGAUGUACUGAAUGCUCUAUCGUUUAUUUUCCCUUCUGUUUAUCCUAUUGGUCCGUUAUCUUUACUUUUAAACCAAAGUCCACAUCAGCACUUGGAAUCUUUAGGUUACAAUCUUUGGAAGGAAAAUACUGAGUGUGUCAAUUGGCUCGAAUCCCAGAAACCUGGAUCUGUUAUUUAUGUGAAUUUUGGCAGCAUCACAGUUAUGUCCGCUGAGCAAAUGUUGGAGUUUGCUUGGGGUUUGGCCAACAGCAAGAAACCGUUUUUGUGGAUCAUUAGGUCCGAUCUUGUCGCCGGAGGUUCCGUGAUUUUGUCUUCAGAGUAUGUGAAUGAAACUCGAGACAGAAGCCUGAUAGUAAGCUGGUGUCCACAGGAGGAAGUGUUGAACCAUCCUUCAGUUGGUGGUUUCUUGACUCACUGUGGAUGGAACUCGACGACUGAAAGUGUUUCCGCCGGAGUCCCAACCCUGUGCUGGCCAUUUUUUGCAGAUCAGCCAACAAACUGUAGAUAUAUGUGCAGUGAGUGGGAGAUUGGGAUUGAGAUUGAUAGAAAUGCGAAGAGAGAGGAGGUGGAGAAGGUGGUGAAUGAGUUGAUGGUAGGGGAGAAGGGAAAGAAGAUGAGAGAAAAGACCGUGCACUUAAAGAAGAAAGCGGAGGAGGCAACAAGACCCGGUGGUCGGUCAUACAUGAACUUGGACAAAGUAAUUAAGGAGGUGUUGCUUAAGGAGAAGACAUCAUUCGAUUAAAGGUUGUUUCUUUUUCAUAAUGUUCUUCUGGAAGAUCUUCUGCUUUACAACCUGUUGCACUGUGAUGGAAUGGGGGCGGUUUGGAACGCCUUGUAGAACUACCCAAGAUCUUCUACUUGACAUUUCAAAGUGUCAUUCAUUCCUAUCUUUAUUCGCAAAUGACAGAUGAAUAUGGUCCUCAUUCAUUGAAUAUGAAAUCAAUGAAUCGUCCUCUUCCGAUAGCCGCCGGAUUCAAUAAUAAUAAUGUAGGUCCAACGUCAC